rnacentral:ncRNA from 2 species
AGAGUUAAACAGUGCGUGAAAUUGUUGAAAGGGAAACGUUUGGCACCAGUCAUGCGUUCAGGAAAUCAGUCUAUCGAAGUGGGGAGUUGUAGGAGUUUGGACCGCAAGGCCUGCUUUUGCUGCAUUUCUGCUUGGAUGGAUGCACUUUUCUGUAUGCAGGUCAACAUCAGUUUUGUUUGCCGGACAAAACCCCAAGGGAAUGUGGCAGCUUUGGCUGUGUUAUAGCCCUGGGGCGAUACGGUGGGCGAGACUGAGGCUUUCAGUGUGUGCUUUCGGGCAAGGCUGACCAGGCGCUAUCGGCCAGCACGGCGUACAAUACAUGUAUUUUGCUUCGUGUCUGGCUUGUACUCGCUUGAAUCGGUUCUUCCACGCUUAGGAUGUUGACAUAAUGGUUCUAAACGACC